AUUGAACGCUGGCGGCAGGCCUAACACAUGCAAGUCGAGCGGGGUUUUCGGACCUAGCGGCGGACGGGUGAGUAAUGCGUAGGAAGCUACCCGAUAGAGGGGGAUACCAGUUGGAAACGACUGUUAAUACCGCAUAAUGUCUACGGACCAAAGUGUGGGACCUUCGGGCCACAUGCUAUCGGAUGCGCCUACGUGGGAUUAGCUAGUUGGUGAGGUAAUGGCUCACCAAGGCGACGAUCCCUAGCUGGUUUGAGAGGAUGAUCAGCCACACUGGAACUUAGCCACGGUCCAGACUCCUACGGGAGGCAGCAGUGGGGAAUAUUGGACAAUGGGGGCAAGCCUGAUCCAGCCAUGCCGCGUUUGUGAAGAAGGCCUUCGGGUUGUAAAGCACUUUCAGUAGGGAGGAAGCGUUGUGUGUUAAUAGUACACAGCGUUGACGUUACCUACAGAAGAAGCACCGGCUAACUCUGUGCCAGCCGCCGCGGUAAAAC
rnacentral:rRNA from 1 species